CCCUUAGAUGUCCUGGGCCGCACGCGUGCUACACUGACGCCUACAGCGAGUACUUCCCAGCACCGAAAGGUGUGGGUAAUCUUUUGAAACUUCGUCGUGCUGGGGAUAGAUCCUUGCAAUUUUUGAUCUUAAACGAGGAAUUCCUAGUAAGCGCAAGUCAUCAACUUGCGUUGAUUACGUCCCUGCCCUUUGUACACACCGCCCGUCGCUACUACCGAUUGAAUGGUUUAGUGAGGCCUUCGGAUCCGCGAUUUCUAUUGUGGAGAAGUUGGACAAACUCAGUCAUUUAGAGGAAGUAAAAGUCGUAACA
rnacentral:rRNA from 1 species